GAUGAACGCUAGCUCCAGGCUUAACACAUGCAAGUCGCGGGGCAGCAUGGGGGUUGCUUGCCAUCCCCGAUGGCGACCGGCGCGCGGGUGAGUAACGCGUAUCCAACCUGCCCUUCACCACGGGAUAACCCGGCGAAAGUCGGACUAAUACCGUAUGUUGUCCAUUGACGGCCUCCGAUUUGGACGAAAGGCUUGGCGGUGAGGGAUGGGGAUGCGUCCGAUUAGCCAGACGGCGGGGUAACGGCCCACCGUGGCUACGAUCGGUAGGGGUUCUGAGAGGAAGGUCCCCCACACUGGAACUGAGACACGGUCCAGACUCCUACGGGAGGCAGCAGUGAGGAAUAUUGGUCAAUGGGCGUAAGCCUGAACCAGCCAAGUAGCGUGCAGGAUGACGGCACUAUGGGUUGUAAACUGCUUUUAUGCGGGGAUAAAGUGGCCCACGUGUGGGCUUUUGCAGGUACCGCAUGAAUAAGGACCGGCUAAUUCCGUG
rnacentral:rRNA from 1 species